CAGGUCUUCUUCAGGUCCUGGGAGAUCAUGCCAUUGAUCAUGGAACUGCAACCUUUGAUGAUUUUCCUAAUGUUCUUUCCAGCAUACAUUUCCUCACAGAUUACCCUUAUUGAGUCUGGAGGUGGCGUGAAAAGACCAGGAGACACAUUGCGACUGACCUGUACAGUGUCUGGGUUUUCUUUAACAAGCUAUGGAGUACACUGGAUCCGUCAGCCACUCGGAAAGGGACUGGAGUGGGCUGGACGUAUCGGGAGUGGUGGAAGCACUUACUAUAGCAGUGCCCUCCAAAACCGGAUCACCAUCUCAAGAGACACCUCAAAAAACCAGGUGUUCCUGCAACUGACUAGCCUGAAGCCUGAAGACACGGCCAUGUAUUACUGUUCAAGGCACACAGUGAGCAAAGCAUUCACAGAGGCAGUACAAAAACUCUGCUUCUUGAAAGCAAGAUAA